rnacentral:lncRNA from 1 species
GGGCACCCGUGAUGCAACUUGGGCUUAUAGUUUAACCGUAAAAUAAAUAAUACAAAUGAUAACAAACCAAGAGUGGCUAAAGUAAGAAAAAAAGCAAACAAACGGAAACCCUCCAGUAUUAACGAGAACAGAUUUCCUAAAUGGUACUUUAUGGAGUAGAGGCCAAAGACUGCUACUGACCUCUUUGGUCUCCAUAGAGCCCUUCUUGCACUUCAGCAAUAAUGCCUGAUAGUUAUACGUUUAGCACAACCUAAUUGAGGUUGUUUAACAUAUGGAAUGAGAUUCUGGCCUCAUUAUCAAGUUAACUAUUAACUUUGCACCCCGUGAAAUGAUUUGCCUUUUCUCCAACAUUGUUUACUUAAAUCCUUUUAAAUUUAAUUCAAAGGCCUCAUUUUGAAUUCAAGGCCUUAAGCACCAAAUUAAAAAUGAAAAACUGAAGUAUCCCUUUGCCCCCUUUCACUUGCAAGGACAGUUAUCCUGUUCUUUCAACGGUACCUUCUGGCCUAGAGGGCUGUGGGGUCAUUUUCAUGUCCAGGCUAUUUAUCAAUAUUGGAGUUAUCCUGUCUUCCCUAUAUUCUUACUUAUUGUAUUCAUUUAGUAUUAUAGGAAUUAGUCACAAAGAAUUGCUGAUUUUCUUACCAACUUAACUAGGUUUUUUUGGUUUACAGAAAAUCUAUCCAGAUUCCAUCUCCACCUCCC